rnacentral:rRNA from 2 species
GGGUUGUGAGGUUAAGCGACUAAGCGUACACGGUGGAUGCCCUGGCAGUCAGAGGCGAUGAAGGGCGUGCUAAUCUGCGAUAAGCGCCGGUAAGGUGAUAUGAACCGUUAUAACCGGCGAUACCCGAAUGGGGAAACCCAGUGUGAUUCGUCACACUAUCAUUAACUGAAUCCAUAGGUUAAUGAGGCGAACCGGGGGAACUGAAACAUCUAAGUACCCCGAGGAAAAGAAAUCAACCGAGAUUCCCCCAGUAGCGGCGAGCGAACGGGGAGGAGCCCAGAGCCUGAAUCAGCAUGUGUGUUAGUGGAAGCGUCUGGAAAGGCGCGCGAUACAGGGUGACAGCCCCGUACACAAAAGCGCAUGUGCUGUGAGCUCGAUGAGUAGGGCGGGACACGUGGUAUCCUGUCUGAAUAUGGGGGGACCAUCCUCCAAGGCUAAAUACUCCUGACUGACCGAUAGUGAACCAGUACCGUGAGGGAAAGGCGAAAAGAACCCCGGCGAGGGGAGUGAAAAAGAACCUGAAACCGUGUACGUACAAGCAGUGGGAGCCCCACCACCAAAGCAUUUGCUGUACCGCGUUGACGGAGCGAAGCGACGUCAAACCGAUAAAACAGCAGUGUAAAGUGAGCCGCAGGGCGCUUUGCGCGACAGCGCAAAGGCAGGCGGUUUCGCGUAGCGAAAGCGAAUGCUUUGGGGUGGGGUGACUGCGUACCUUUUGUAUAAUGGGUCAGCGACUUAUAUUCUGUAGCAAGGUUAACCGAAUAGGGGAGCCGGAGGGAAACCGAGUCUUAAUUGGGCGUUAAGUUGCAGGGUAUAGACCCGAAACCCGGUGAUCUAGCCAUGGGCAGGUUGAAGGUUGGGUAACACUAACUGGAGGACCGAACCGACUAAUGUUGAAAAAUUAGCGGAUGACCUGUGGCUGGGGGUGAAAGGCCAAUCAAACCGGGAGAUAGCUGGUUCUCCCCGAAAGCUAUUUAGGUAGCGCCUCGUGAAUUCAUCUCCGGGGGUAGAGCACUGUUUCGGCUAGGGGGCCAUCCCGGCUUACCAACCCGAUGCAAACUGCGAAUACCGGAGAAUGUUAUCACGGGAGACACACGGCGGGUGCUAACGUCCGUCGUGAAGAGGGAAACAACCCAGACCGCCAGCUAAGGUCCCAAAGUCAUGGUUAAGUGGGAAACGAUGUGGGAAGGCCCAGACAGCCAGGAUGUUGGCUUAGAAGCAGCCAUCAUUUAAAGAAAGCGUAAUAGCUCACUGGUCGAGUCGGCCUGCGCGGAAGAUGUAACGGGGCUAAACCAUGCACCGAAGCUGCGGCAGCGACGCUUAUGCGUUGUUGGGUAGGGGAGCGUUCUGUAAGCCUGCGAAGGUGGGCUGUGAGGGUUGCUGGAGGUAUCAGAAGUGCGAAUGCUGACAUAAGUAACGAUAAAGCGGGUGAAAAGCCCGCUCGCCGGAAGACCAAGGGUUCCUGUCCAACGUUAAUCGGGGCAGGGUGAGUCGACCCCUAAGGCGAGGCCGAAAGGCGUAGUCGAUGGGAAACGGGUUAAUAUUCCCGUACUUGGUGUUACUGCGAAGGGGGGACGGAGAAGGCUAUGUUGGCCGGGCGACGGUUGUCCCGGUUUAAGCGUGUAGGCUGGUUUUCCAGGCAAAUCCGGAAAAUCAAGGCUGAGGCGUGACGACGAGGCACUACGGUGCUGAAGCAACAAAUGCCCUGCUUCCAGGAAAAGCCUCUAAGCAUCAGGUAACACGAAAUCGUACCCCAAACCGACACAGGUGGUCAGGUAGAGAAUACCAAGGCGCUUGAGAGAACUCGGGUGAAGGAACUAGGCAAAAUGGUGCCGUAACUUCGGGAGAAGGCACGCUGAUAUGUAGGUGAAGCGGUUUACCCGUGGAGCUGAAAUCAGUCGAAGAUACCAGCUGGCUGCAACUGUUUAUUAAAAACACAGCACUGUGCAAACACGAAAGUGGACGUAUACGGUGUGACGCCUGCCCGGUGCCGGAAGGUUAAUUGAUGGGGUCAGCGCAAGCGAAGCUCCUGAUCGAAGCCCCGGUAAACGGCGGCCGUAACUAUAACGGUCCUAAGGUAGCGAAAUUCCUUGUCGGGUAAGUUCCGACCUGCACGAAUGGCGUAAUGAUGGCCAGGCUGUCUCCACCCGAGACUCAGUGAAAUUGAACUCGCUGUGAAGAUGCAGUGUACCCGCGGCAAGACGGAAAGACCCCGUGAACCUUUACUAUAGCUUGACACUGAACAUUGAGCCUUGAUGUGUAGGAUAGGUGGGAGGCUUUGAAGUGUGGACGCCAGUCUGCAUGGAGCCGACCUUGAAAUACCACCCUUUAAUGUUUGAUGUUCUAACGUGGACCCGUUACCCGGGUUGCGGACAGUGUCUGGUGGGUAGUUUGACUGGGGCGGUCUCCUCCUAAAGAGUAACGGAGGAGCACGAAGGUUGGCUAAUCCUGGUCGGACAUCAGGAGGUUAGUGCAAUGGCAUAAGCCAGCUUGACUGCGAGCGUGACGGCGCGAGCAGGUGCGAAAGCAGGUCAUAGUGAUCCGGUGGUUCUGAAUGGAAGGGCCAUCGCUCAACGGAUAAAAGGUACUCCGGGGAUAACAGGCUGAUACCGCCCAAGAGUUCAUAUCGACGGCGGUGUUUGGCACCUCGAUGUCGGCUCAUCACAUCCUGGGGCUGAAGUAGGUCCCAAGGGUAUGGCUGUUCGCCAUUUAAAGUGGUACGCGAGCUGGGUUUAGAACGUCGUGAGACAGUUCGGUCCCUAUCUGCCGUGGGCGCUGGAGAACUGAGGGGGGCUGCUCCUAGUACGAGAGGACCGGAGUGGACGCAUCACUGGUGUUCGGGUUGUCAUGCCAAUGGCACUGCCCGGUAGCUAAAUGCGGAAGAGAUAAGUGCUGAAAGCAUCUAAGCACGAAACUUGCCCCGAGAUGAGUUCUCCCUGAGACUUUAGGUCUCCUGAAGGAACGUUGAAGACGACGACGUUGAUAGGCCGGGUGUGUAAGCGCAGCGAUGCGUUGAGCUAACCGGUACUAAUGAACCGUGAGGCUUAACCUUACAACGCCGAAG